CCCCCCCCCCCCCCCAAGUACUCGAAGGCUAGAUACUGUGAAGGAGGUCUCAUCUUACUUGAAGAAGGUUCGGUACUACCCAGACAAAAUUGCGUUAGUUCUCAUCUCUGGAUUUGAGGGAGACAACAUGAUUGAGAGGUCCACCAACCUCAACUGGUACAAGGGACUUGACAAUAUCUCUUAGCCAAAGAGGCCCUCAACAAGCCCCUCCGUCUCCCACUUAAUGUUUACAAGAUUGGAGGUAUUGGAACUGUGCCAGACUGCCAGUGGGACGUGUUGAAAACUGGUUUCAUCAAGCCUGGUAUGGUUGUCACUUUUGGACCCACUGGGUUGACUACUGAAGUUAAGUCUGUGGAGAUGCACCACGAGGCUCUCCAAGAAGCUCUUCCAGGUGGUUCAUCGUUAAGAAUGUUGCUGUGAAGGAUCUCAAGCAUGGUUUCGUCGCUUCCAACUCCAAGGAUGACCCUGCCAGGGAAGCAGCCAACUUCACCUCCCAGGUCAUCAUCAUGAACCACCUCGAUCAGAUAGCCAAUGGUGGGCAAUGUCCGUUUCAGAGUAGCUGCAAUCUCAGGAGCACUUCUUACCUUAGGGAAAAGGGAAUGUGAUACUCAAGGCCUAAUGUGCGCUUUAUAAGACAUUCUCACAUUAACAGGUGAGCGGAUGUAAGGAUGUGAGGCAUCAACGGUGUUGCGUGGAAAGGCACAACCUUUCGUCAACAUCCAAAUUGGUGUUGGUUAUGCAUGCACGAUACCAAAACCACUCUCUCCUCAUUUCUCUCAUUGCAUCUCAACUCGAUAAUGCUUCUGUAGAAACUCCUCCUUGGAGUAAGAUGGUGUCUUCUUCUGACAUAAAAAAUGAUGACCAAUAUAACAUCAGUUCUUCUUGUUUUGAAGUCUGAAACGUAAUCUUCCAUCAUUACAGGGAUCUUGAUGUGAUUCUUGAUGCAUAUGAGAAAGGGGACAAGUUUUGUCUCUAAACAGGAAGAGGGCUUUCAUCUGAAGCCUUGCAUUUGGGACAUCUUAUCCCCCCCUUUUUUUUUGUGAUUAAGUACCAAUUACAAUUGUACCAUAUGCUGUGGAAUUAGCUCAUUUCAUGAUUAAGGAGAAGUAACUAAUGGAUAGGGUGUCAAGGUUGUUAGUUUCGUUCAUGUUGAUGGAAAUAAACAAUUGAACCAUAUGCUGAACAAGUUAGAACGAUCCCAUUGUGAAGUGAGAAUGUUUGUAUGGUUAUAAAGGACCAGGUGAGCUUGAGUCCAUGAAUCAGUUAUUAGAAAUUCAUACUUCAGGGGCUUAAUGGUAAUUAAAAUAUUGAUGCUGAGAAAAGAUAGACUGCAGAGAAUUAAAAAAUUUAGGGAUUUCAUUUUGAUUGGGUGCACGAAUUGUUGGUUGGGCUGACUGUAUCGUUCAUUCUACACUUGGAUAGUCUAUGCUGUUAAUGUAGUUUUCCAAAUUAGGUUUUGUUAUGCCAGUGUCUUAAUGGCUUUACCAUCUUUUGGUACGUCAGGAAAUACAGCAAAAAUGUAACACUAUUUCAUAGCUUACUGAUUUCUGUAUCUCAUUUUGUUAAGAGGUAUGUUUUUCGAACCCUAGAAGAAAUAAUGAGAACAAUAAAACUGAGAUAAAAGAAUCAGUUUCAUACUUAAAGGGAUUAAUCUUUAUGUAUCAUAUGGUGACAUGUGAUCGUCUAAAGGUACAAGAGACCUACAUGCAUAUUGUACUUCACCUGUUCUUUUAAUUAUCUUAGUAGCAUCCAUUAAAUGUAUUGCAUAUAUUUGCAUUUUUGUAUCACAUUGUUGGACUGUCACGAAAAAUUUAACAGUAUAAGUUUUAAGCUGUUUUUUCAAUUAGUUGCACCUACAAUUAUUUCUUAUCUUAGAUUUGGCAUGUAUUCUCAGCUUCUUUGUGCCCUGGUGGAUGCAAGUAAUUUGACUACUGAAACCUUUUAAGAGAUGUAAGACAUUUGGUUUUCUAAAUAUGAACUUGCCUCUUAUGUUUGCAACAGGAAUGUGUCUUGGGGAACGUAAAGCAUAAAGUUGGCCGCCCUUGAAAUUGAAGCAUAUGAAGUAUGUCUAUUAGAUCAGAUUUUCCCAUGGAAUACAGACUAACAGGCAUGCUGACAGUGAUGCCAGAGCAGAUUUGAGCUCAGACUGUCAGAGGUGAAACUGAGAAUUAGGCAAAAGCUGAUUGUCACGAGCAAUUAAUCCACCACCUUAUUGCAUCGUUUGUGUGGGUUCAUCGGACAGCUGCAACGAUGGAGCAAUGGAUCAAUCACUUCUUUGUUGCUAAAGCAUGUGUUAUAGUUUUUCAUAAUUUUGGAUCUUGAUUAUAAUCUUAUUAAUGGGAAUCUGUAGAAUUGUCAUCGUACCAGAUAAAAGUUGGAAGCUAAUACUUCUAUUAUCCUUUUUAAUUUUUAAUUUAACAGUGAAUUGCAAAUAUUUUGCAGUCAUCUAGCA